rnacentral:rRNA from 1 species
GACGAACGCUGGCGGCGUGCUUAACACAUGCAAGUCGAACGGAAAGGCCCUGCUUUUGUGGGGUGCUCGAGUGGCGAACGGGUGAGUAACACGUGAGUAACCUGCCCCUGACUUUGGGAUAACUUCAGGAAACUGGGGCUAAUACCGGAUAGGAGCUCCUGCUGCAUGGUGGGGGUUGGAAAGUUUCGGCGGUUGGGGAUGGACGCGCGGCUUAUCAGCUUGUUGGUGGGGUAGUGGCUUACCAAGGCUUUGACGGGUAGCCGGCCUGAGAGGGUGACCGGCCACAUUGGGACUGAGAUACGGCCCAGACUGCUACGGGAGGCAGCAGUGGGGAAUAUUGCACAAUGGGCGGAAGCCUGAGGCAGCAACGCCGCGUGCGGAAUGACGGCCUUCGGGUUGUAAACCGCUUUCGCCUGUGACGAAGCGUGAGUGACGGUAAUGGGUAAAGAAGCACCGGCUAACUACGUG